rnacentral:rRNA from 1 species
UACGUAGGGGGCUAGCGUUGUCCGGAUUUAUUGGGCGUAAAGAGCGUGUAGGCGGCCAGGUAGGUCUGCUGUGAAAACUCGAGGCUCAACCUCGAGACGUCGGCGGAAACCAUCUGGCUAGAGUCCGGAAGAGGAGAGUGGAAUUCCUGGUGUAGCGGUGAAAUGCGCAGAUAUCAGGAGGAACACCAAUGGCGAAGGCAGCACUCUGGGACGUGACUGACGCU